ACGAACAACAAGAAGGAAAUUUUUCACCAGAUCAGGAAUUCCAAAUGUGGUUGGUUGCGUUGAUGGAACCCAUGUUGCAAUUAUUGCUCCAUGUGAGAACAAGCACUUAUAUAUGAAUAGAAAAGGAUUUUACAGCAUAAAUGCGAUGAUUGCAUGCGAUCAGGAUAUGGUUAUACGGUGUGUUGAUGCAAGAUAUGGAGGAUCUAGCCACGACUCAUUUGUGUGGAACAAUAGCGCUUUAAAAACAUAUCUGGAGCAAACAUACCAAAGAGGAGAUCAUAAUUCGGUUUACUUAGGUGAUUCUGGUUAUCCACUACACGAGUAUCUAUGGACGCCUUUCCGAAACGCUUUACCAGGAACAGUAUAAUCAAAUUUUAAUAAGAAACAUGCAAUGGCAAGGAACGUAGUUGAACGA